rnacentral:rRNA from 1 species
UAACACGAACCGGGCAAACGUUAUUCGGAAUUACUGGGCUUAAAGGGUGCGUAGGCUGCGCUAUAAGUCGGGUGUGAAAUCCCUCAGCUCAACUGAGGAACUGCGCCCGAUACUGUAGUGCUUGAGGAGGAUAGAGGUGAGCGGAACUAGCAGUGGAGCGGUGAAAUGCGUUGAUAUUGCUGGGAACACCCGUGGCGAAAGCGGCUCACUGGGUCCUUUCUGACGCUGAGGCACGAAAGCUAGGGGAGCGAACGGGAUUAGAUACCCCGGUAGUCCUAGCCGUAAACGAUGAGCACUAGAUCGGGGAGACCUCCACAUCUUCCCGAUCGUAGCGAAAGUGUUAAGUGCUCCGCCUGGGGAGUAUGGUCGCAAGGCUG